AACAAUAACAAUAAUAAUAAUAAUAAUAAGUCACUGUUUGUUAAGGUAGUUAUAGACAGUACAGCAACAAUAAUAAUAAUAAUAAUAAUAAGUCACUGUUUGUUAAGGUAGUUAUAGACAGUACAGCAACAAUAAUAAUAAUAAGUCACUGUUUUAAGGUAGUUAUAGAUAGUGGCUAUUGUCUUUCAAUCUGUUAUUUUGUUAUAAUGUAUAGUAGUGGGUUGUUAGUGAUAUGUUAUAUUAUGUAAAGUAGACUAGGUUAUAAUGUAUAGUAGUGGGUUGUUAGUGAUAUGUAGAUGUUAUAUUAUAUAAAGUAGACUAGGUUAUAAUGUAUAGUAGUGGGUUGUUAGUGAU
ensembl:lncRNA